AUGUGCAUUUGAAUCUGGAAUAAGUAGUUCACUUACUUCACUAAAAUCUGGUGGAAAAGGAGGAAAGGUUGCAAAUGGUGGAAAAAGUUCUCAGUCAAAAGACCCGCAUUCAUCAAAUCAAAGAGUUGGGAAAAAAAGGUAAAAGAAAAAAAAGAGAGAAAGAGAGAGACAGAAAACAUGACUAUCACAGGUUCUGGUUCCGGACAACCACAAUUCAUUUCCAGCACUGGGAACCGAAGCCUUUCCAAUACGCCACUCAUUGAGAACUCAGAUACUAAUCAAAUUAUUGUGCUUGAUAUCAAUACAUCAGAUUGUCGAAAGGGGGCUGUUGUCAAGCAAAAUCUUGGAGUGGCUCUUAAAUCACAUGCAGUGAAAAGGUUAUCCGGAUUUUGGCAAAUCAUCCACAAUUUGGAAUUGCAUUAAUGACUGCUGAUAGGAAAGCUGGGUAGCCAAUCAUCCACAAUUUCGAAUUGCAUUAAUUACUUGAUUUUAAUUAUUAUUUUUGUACAUCAUUUUACAUCGAUUGUGGAAAGAACCGAUGUAAAUUGGUGUCAAAAUUUACAUCAGUUAUACAAGGAACCGAUGUAAAUUUGUACAUCAUUUUACAUCGGUUGUGGAAAGAACUGAUGUAAAUUGGUGUACAAAAUUACAUCGGUUUUAAAACCGAUGUAAAAUGGUUUGCACUUAUUACGUCACUCUAUUCUACAUCGGUUUUAGAACCGAUGUAGAUAGUGUU